rnacentral:lncRNA from 1 species
GCCAAAUAUUGUGGAAUAAGUUUAUUGUUCUUCUGUAGGUAUUAAUAAGGUAGAUCUCUAAUCAAACAUCAUAGUGGACUUUUGUUUAAGUUGUCUUGUGGAUUUGAUAAGGAGUCUGAACCCGUGCUUUGCAUGUGAGAGUACGGCUCUAAUCUGGUAGCUAUAGCAAAGCCUGAGGGCCAAUAAAAAUAAAUACAUUUUCAGAGGGCAAGAAAGGAGGAGAAAUAGAUUUAGUCAAUACCCUGGCUUCAUUCCAUCACAAAUUAAAAAUCCAUUUUCCAUGUGGUUUGGUAAGUUUAAAAGAUAGGUCAGAGCAGGAGUGAAGAGAACAAAAAGACUUGUUCUUCUGAUGAAAAGCAUAGAGAAAGAAAAUAAAGGAAAAAAGCUGCAUCAAUUUACUUGAGUGAGCUGAGCUGACUCACCCAGCAUCUCAUGCAUUGAUCUUGGAAAAUGUUUUCUCUUGCUGUCUGUGCAUAAAACACCUCCUCGUGAGGGAGGGUCUACUUUUGCCCUAUGUUGUUCCUGUUCAUCAAGUUGAUGGAAAACUGCAACUGCCCUCCACCACAUUAGAUUUUAAAUCCUAAAUAUGUAAAGUAUUACCCCUUUAUAAGCUUUACAUUAGCUGAUCAUUAUCCUGUGGCAGAUUAUACAAAAGGAGAACAGGAUUGGAUCUGAUCUGUUUUUAUUUCUAGUAACUAAUAAACAAACACCCAUAUUUCUCACGUUACUUGAUGGCUCCAGAUAACCCUUCCAAAACUCCAUAGGCUUCCUCCAGCUUUCAGGAUUGUGGCAGGUAUGUACUUUCCAAGUGGAGUUUCAGGACCAAAAAGCUCAGAUAUAUCACUUUCUCUUUCUCAUCCUUUGGCCACUUAAUGUUUUUAUUUUCAUGUAGAUAUCUUCUUGCCAGGUUGAAGCUGACACCUUGUGGUUUGUGACUACACACCCUCACUGGUAAAACAGAAUGAUCUGGUUUACAAAAGAGUUUGUUCAGCUCUGUCCAAAGUAACUGGAAUAUUGAAGACAGUUAUUCAGAAAACACUAAUACACCUCUCAAGUGUCUCAGGAAGACUAAUGAAUAUUCUUUGCUGGUAUUGCAAACUCAAAGAAGUGGAACAGUAUCAGAAAUACAUGCAGUGAGGAAAGACAUGUUUUGCAUGUUACUUGAUGUCUCCAGAUGACCCUUUCAAAAUUCCAUAGUCUUCCUUCAGCUUUCAGGAUUG